rnacentral:rRNA from 1 species
AGAGUUUGAUCCUGGCUCAGGAUGAACGCUAGCGACAGGCUUAACACAUGCAAGUCGAGGGGCAACGGGACGUAGCAAUACGUUGCCGGCGACCGGCGGAUGGGUGAGUAACGCGUAUGCAACCUACCCACGACAGGGGAUAGCCCGUUGAAAGACGGAUUAAUACCCCAUAAAACAGGGGUUCCGCAUGGGACUAUUUGUUAAAGGGUUCUCCGCGAGGGGGACAUCGGUUGUGGAUGGGCAUGCGUUCCAUUAGGCAGUUGGUGAGGUAACGGCUCACCAAACCGACGAUGGAUAGGGGAACCGAGAGGUUGGUCCCCCCACACUGGUACUGAGAUACGGACCAGACUCCUACGGGAGGCAGCAGUGAGGAAUUUUGGUCAAUGGACGGAAAUCUGAUCCAGCCAUGCCGCGUGCAGGAAGGCGGCCCUAUGGGUUGUAAACUGCUUUUGUACGGGAGCAAUAAGGUCUACGAGUAGAUUGAUGAGAGUACUGUACGAAUAAGCAUCGGCUAAACUCCGUGCC